rnacentral:rRNA from 1 species
GAUGAACGCUGGCGGCGUGCCUAAUACAUGCCAGUCGAGCGAACGGACGAGAAGCUUGCUUUUCUGAUGUUAGCGGCGGACGGGUGAGUAACACGUGGAUAACCUACCUAUAAGACUGGGAUAACUUCGGGAAACCGGAGCUAAUACCGGAUAAUAUUUUGAACCGCAUGGUUCAAAAGUGAAAGACGGUCUUGCUGUCACUUAUAGAUGGAUCCGCGCUGCAUUAGCUAGUUGGUAAGGUAACGGCUUACCAAGGCAACGAUGCAUAGCCGACCUGAGAGGGUGAUCGGCCACACUGGAACUGAGACACGGUCCAGACUCCUACGGGAGGCAGCAGUAGGGAAUCUUCCGCAAUGGGCGAAAGCCUGACGGAGCAACGCCGCGUGAGUGAUGAAGGUCUUCGGAUCGUAAAACUCUGUUAUUAGGGAAUAACAUAUGUGUAAGUAACUGUGCACAUCUUGACGGUACCUAAUCAGAAAGCCACGGCUAACUACGUG